UACGUAGGGUGCAAGCGUUGUCCGGAAUUAUUGGGCGUAAAGGGCUCGUAGGCGGUCCAUCGCGUCGGGAGUGAAAAGCUGGGGCUUAACCCCAGUCCUGCUUCCGAUACGGGUGGACUAGAGGUAGGUAGGGGAGAACGGAAUUCCUGGUGUAGCGGUGAAAUGCGCAGAUAUCAGGAGGAACACCGGUGACGAAGGCGGUUCUCUGGGCCUUACCUGACGCUGAGGAGCGAAAGCAUGGGGAGCAAACAGG
rnacentral:rRNA from 1 species